AAAAGACAGGGUCAAAAGUAAAAAAUCCGAUUGUGCUUGCACAAAAAGGAUUUUUUAUUUGGGACCCGCAAAACACGAGCAUGUAGCGUAAUCACGCGAAAUGCGAGUGUUUUAGAAUUGCGGGAGCUUCAUAGAAGCGAAGCAAUUCGUGUCUUUU
rnacentral:sRNA from 1 species